UGGACAGAUUAUUGUAUUCGACUGUAUUCACUGCGUGAAAUAGGGGAUUACACUGUUUUUAAAACGGAAAGUGAAUCAAUUAACAUAAUAGACUCCU
rfam:Nicotiana attenuata strain TT chromosome 9, whole genome shotgun sequence.